rnacentral:rRNA from 1 species
CACGUAGGGGGCGAGCGUUGUCCGGAUUCAUUGGGCGUAAAGGGCGCGCAGGCGGCCCGGAAAGUCGGAUGUGAAAACUCGAGGCUCAACCUCGAGCGUGCACCCGAUACUGCCGGGCUUGAGGCAGGUAGGGGAGAUCGGAAUUCCUGGUGUAGCGGUGAAAUGCGCAGAUAUCAGGAGGAACACCGGUGGCGAAGGCGGAUCUCUGGGCCUGUCCUGACGCUGGAGGCGCGAAAGCUAGGGGAGCAAACAGG